UACGUAGGGGGCAAGCGUUGUCCGGAUUUAUUGGGCGUAAAGAGCGUGUAGGCGGCCAGAUAGGUCCGUUGUGAAAACUCGAGGCUCAACCUCGAGACGCCGAUGGAAACCAUUUGGCUAGAGUCCGGAAGAGGAGUGUGGAAUUCCUGGUGUAGCGGUGAAAUGCGCAGAUAUCAGGAGGAACACCAAUUGCGAAGGCAGCUCGCUGGGACGUUACUGACGCUGAGACGCGAAAGCGUGGGGAGCAAACAGG
rnacentral:rRNA from 1 species